UCCAGCCUUUUAGGUGCGAUUUCUGUGGGGUUUGAGGAGCUUAACACCUUCAUGCUUUGCAUAUUCGUGCUCUUGGGUGUACUUGCCCGUGUGGUUGGUUAACAUCAAUUUUGGUGGUCAUAAAAUGACUGGAGGAAUGUAGCUUCGAUCUUGUAUUGAAGUGUUAUAGCCUUCGGUAGAUGUGAUGAUCGAGAUUGAGGAUUGCAGCGGAUACCCUUCGGGGCUACCUGUCUGGUCUCUGAUCGUUGCUCUGGUGCCGAAAGCUUGCUUACGGUUAUCAAAGUCGAUGGUCAAUAGGUUAGAACGGGUUAAAUUCGUUAAGGAUGUUGACGUAAUGGCUUU
rnacentral:rRNA from 1 species